CCAUAGCGUAUAUUAAAGUUGUUGCAGUUAAAAAGCUCGUAGUUGGAUUUCUGUUCUUGGGAUCUGGUCCGCCUCACGGUGAGCACUGGAUAACUGGGGACAUCCUCUCGAAGGCGGCAGGUGCACUUGAUUGUGUGUUUGUUGAAUUCGGGACCUUUACUUUGAAAAAAUUAGAGUGUUCAAAGCAGGCGUCGGCUUGAAUACAUUAGCAUGGAAUAAUGGAAUAGGACUUUGGUUCUAUUUUGUUGGUUUCUAGGACCGAAGUAAUGAUUAAUAGGGACAGUUGGGGGCAUUAGUAUUUAAUUGUCAGAGGUGAAAUUCUUGGAUUUAUGAAAGACUAACUACUGCGAAAGCAUUUGCCAAGGAUGUUUUCAUUAA
rnacentral:rRNA from 1 species